CCUACGGGUGGCAGCAGUGGGGAAUAUUGCACAAUGGGGGAAACCCUGAUGCAGCGACGCCGCGUGAGUGAAGAAGUAUUUCGGUAUGUAAAGCUCUAUCAGCAGGGAAGAAGAAAGACGGUACCUGACUAAGAAGCCCCGGCUAACUACGUGCCAGCAGCCGCGGUAAUACGUAGGGGGCAAGCGUUAUCCGGAUUUACUGGGUGUAAAGGGAGCGUAGACGGCUGGGCAAGUCUGAGGUGAACGCCCAGGGCUCAACCCUGGGACUGCUUUGGAAACUGUGGAGCUAGAGUGCUGGAGAGGUCAGUGGAAUUCCUAUUGUAGCGGUGAAAUGCGUAGAUAUUAGGAGGAACACCGGUGGCGAAGGCGGCCUGCUGGACUGUGACUGACGUUGAGGCCCGAAGGCGUGGGGAGCAAACAGGAUUAGAUACCCCGGUAGUC
rnacentral:rRNA from 1 species